rnacentral:rRNA from 1 species
UCGGGAAUUUUGGGCAAUGGGCGAAAGCCUGACCCAGCAACGCCGCGUGAAGGAUGAAGUAUUUCGGUAUGUAAACUUCGAAAGAAUAGGAAGAAUAAAUGACGGUACUAUUUAUAAGGUCCGGCUAACUACGUGCCAGCAGCCGCGGUAAUACGUAGGGACCAAGCGUUAAUCGGAAUUACUGGGCGUAAAGCGUGCGCAGGCGGUUAUGCAAGACAGAUGUGAAAUCCCCGGGCUCAACCUGGGAACUGCAUUUGUGACUGUAUAGCUAGAGUACGGUAGAGGGGGAUGGAAUUCCGCGUGUAGCAGUGAAAUGCGUAGAUAUGCGGAGGAACACCGAUGGCGAAGGCAAUCCCCUGGACCUGUACUGACGCUCAUGCACGAAAGCGUGGGGAGCAAACAGGAUUAGAUACCCGGGUAGUCCCUGAGCGGGCUGGCAAGGCGCAU